GAUGAACGCUGGCGGCGUGCCUAAUACAUGCAAGUCGAGCGAACGGACGAGAAGCUUGCUUCUCUGAUGUUAGCGGCGGACGGGUGAGUAACACGUGGAUAACCUACCUAUAAGACUGGGAUAACUUCGGGAAACCGGAGCUAAUACCGGAUAAUAUUUUGACCCGCAUGGUUCAAAAGUGAAAGACGGUCUUGCUGUCACUUAUAGAUGGAUCCGCGCUGCAUUAGCUAGUUGGUAAGGUAACGGCUUACCAAGGCAACGAUGCAUAGCCGACCUGAGAGGGUGAUCGGCCACACUGGAACUGAGACACGGUCCAGACUCCUACGGGAGGCAGCAGUAGGGAAUCUUCCGCAAUGGGCGAAAGCCUGACGGAGCAACGCCGCGUGAGUGAUGAAGGUCUUCGGAUCGUAAAACUCUGUUAUUAGGGAAGAACAUAUGUGUAAGUAACUGUGCACAUCUUGACGGUACCUAAUCAGAAAGCCACGGCUAACUACGUG
rnacentral:rRNA from 1 species